GGUAAAUUUUUAGAAUUGUUUUUUGGGAAAUGUCCUUGAGAUGAGAUUUUUUUCGAAUUAUCUUCCAUUUUUCUGUUUUAAAAUUAGUAUCUACAUUCACAAUAAUUUUGUACAAAUUGUGCAUACUUUAAGAAAUAAAAAGGCAUUCGAUUCUUUUAAACUUUACAAUAAGCGUUUAGUGACAUGGUAAACGGGUUUUCUAGAUGCGGAAAUAUAUUCCAUGAGCUCGUCAUGAACAUGUACGAAGCGGAGCGCGUCCAUCUUAACCAAAGUGUGAAAAGAGCGACACAGGAGAUAGCUUACAUAUUUACGUAAAAGCAUAGGCCAACGACGGAUGGAAGGGGAUGAAACGAAGUUCCCAGUUUUGCGUUAAAUGACUCAGAAUUGUGUUUUGCAAAUGAACACGAAAGAAUGAAUUUCCGUUCGCCAGUUGCAACUUGGGCGAACGCUACAAUUGUUACUUGGGUGCAACCGAAACAAAAACACGCACUUGUUUAGAAGUUUUCGACCCUCAGCUAUAAACACGAGCUCCUUCAAUCCGGCUUUUAUUUCACUGCAAGCAACAACAUAGCAUAACGCAGUGAAAAAGCGACGCCUAGCAUACCGUGAGGGCAGAAGGAUUAUAUUCGAAGAAUAAUUUAAGUUAAAGUGUAUAGUUUUAUAUGCCUCGAACGAAGAUUGCACUUAGCAUACGCUCGAUCAAGAUACUGACGCAUUAAUCCGUUAAAGUAACUGUAACCACAAAGCAACCACGAAUGUGUUUGAAGUUAAAAUGAACCUACAUGAAACGAUUAGAUAGUUUGCAUUAAAACAGUGCGUUACUGUUAGCAAUGGAAAAUGAAUUCAAUGAAGUAGCAGCCCGUGCAGUAUUAGCAUAUCUUUACGACCACGAUAUGUACAAACUGGCGGAGCAGUUCUGUAUGGCUAAUCCUUAUUUAGAGACGGAUCGGCGUUCCUUGCAGGAGGGCAACUUACCGGUAAACUUUCUGCACAAACCACUGAAGGUCGUGAUGAAGGAAUUUAUCGUGAUGCAAUCACAACUACUGCAGCUGGUGAAUCUGUGCAGCGGUGCAAUAAGUUUUCCGCAGUCCAGCUCGAUCUUGGAACUGGUGGAUCAUUUGAUAAAGGUCCUAAAAUCGUCCGGUACGGGACAGGUACUUAAGACGGUAAUUUCCACGCUUCCAGCAUGCAUCGAUUGGAGUGAGACGCAUUCAACAACUGAACCCCAGCCGGUACCGCCAAAUGUUGUGGAACAUACGAACGGCGGUACCGUGCAAGGUUCGUCCGAUAUGUCGUUCUCUGCCGAUAGCCUUCUUGGACAGGAUCUCAUUAUUACAGCGUCGGAUAUGAGCCUGAUGGAAACAAUCACGCGCUGUGUAGAAUUAGACACCAUGCCAUUAAUAAUGGAGAACGCGGUGUUUACUGAACAACCGUCGGCUGUUAAAGCUAAUACGCUAAACGGCAUCAUCACCGUUGGAAACAUACCGCCUGCAAGUGGCACACAAUCAAACCAAACCUACACAUCAACCCCUUCUGCCUCCACCGUCCCGAUGAUCACUCCGCAGCAAACCAAUCAAUCGAAGAAACCGACACACAACGUUACGCUGCCCCUGCCACAUGACAACGUACCAACGGCAACCACAAAUCCGUCACUAUCGAUCGCAAAAGGGCAGCAGCAGGCACCGAGUGUUUCGAAAGCAAAUACCGAAAAGCUACCACCACCUACGACCGGGUCGCUGCUGACGCUUGGAACCGGUGUGGCACGAUCGAAUGCGACACCACUAGACAAUCCGAUCGUACCCGGCGCGGUCAGUUCUCGGUCAACCUCCAGCCGCAAGCAGUCGCACAUCCGCAUACUAGACUUUGGCACACCGCCAGUCAAGCGCGGCAGUCCUUCGGUCGUCGGUCCGUCGCCUGUGAUACCGUCGCCGAUCGUGAGUGUCCCGCAAAGGAGUUUACCAGUGCUGAAGCUUACACCGACUGUCUGCGUAGCGGACAGAAAUCAACCACCGGUGCAGACCGCCAACGAGGAAACAAAACCAAAGAAAGUGAUCGUUAAGCGGCGAUUAAAGCGAUACGGAACGCGAAAACAAAUUAAACGUAUCGUUGGAGGGAAGCUUUCCUCCAAGAAGCUGGUGAAGAGGACAAUGCCAAAGCGCCAAAUGCAUUCACCGGACAGUUUACAUCAGCAAUCCGACAGCAUCAACUGUACGCAACCGUCAAACGUUUCCCAAAGCAAUAGAAAUUGUUUACAACCGAAGGUGAACGCAUCCACCAUCAACAUGUCGCCGGCGAAAUCGUGCCGACCGCCGUCAGCUUCACCGACCCGGGCUGUUGUUCCCGGUUCACCUUCCUGUCCGGUCGAUCCGCUUGCCGUCUGUCCAAUGACGCCACGUUUUCUAACCCGUCCGCUACAGCCACUGUGCAUGCUAUCGCCGCUGCUCGGUACGCUCGAUGCUAGUGCAAUCAGCCACAUCAAAUCAACCAGCCACACGAAACAGACCACCGACAUCAAUACACCGAGGUACCCGAUAACACCCGGCAAUACCAUUACCCCGUCACCGCCGACGGAGUGUGUUUCGUACUAUGAAAGUGAACCGGGUACGGUUAAUACCGCCCGCAAGACCGGUACGAAUGACGAGACGGACGAUAGUGAAACGGAUCGAAGCGAAUCGCCGGGUGUAGCAAAACCACAGCUAACGCUUGCGGCAAGCGAAGGCAGUGAGGAGAUAUCGAUACAAUAUGUAGAACGCGAACGAUUCCAACCGGUAAUGGUGGAAGAUCGUGAAUUCAAUGCCCGACUGGCGGCACGCAUCGAAAUCGACAAUGGAAACCGUGUGUUUCAGAUUGCGGUUUCACCCCUUAUUACACUGUAUGAAGAUUAUCCCUAGAACGAUGUGCCGUAUGUUUUUUUUUCCAUACGGGGUUGUGUAUUUUGUGCACGUGUACAGUUUUAAGAAUGUUUCUCGUUGCGGAAACAUGAAGAGAGGUAAAAGACAGUAAUAGAAAUAGUGUAAGGAGACGAAAUCGUGAAAAGAGCUUUAAACACGUGUACGCCAGUCGACAGACGAAGAGUGAACACGUUUGCCAAUAGUGCAUGUUAGUGUAAAAUGUAAGAAACCUGAAACAAAAACCGACCGCAAAAAAAAGUGUAACCACAAUCAAACAACAACCAAUUUGUACUUUUUACGAGUACAGCAAACUCUGUUCCAACUUCAUAGAUAUCACGGCACAAUCAUCUACAUACAUUGUAGCAGUUUGGUACACUUUUACCAUACUUAAUAGUUAGCAAUUGCAUAGUACAAACUUAACAAAAAAAAACAUUUUAAAAUAAUCUAGCACUUCGAUUUUUUGUUUAUUAAAUAUCUACCAACAGUAAACAACUGAAAAACGCUUCGUUGUCCUUAGUGUUUACUGGUCACACUAUGUGUAAACUCACUCCCACCGCCUUUUUCACAAUGUGCAGAAGAAGAAAAACGAUUAAGCGACGAUGUGCAAAUCAGGAUAAUUUUCAAUACGGAUAUUACAAAACACGGAUC